GAAAUGCGAUAAGUAAUGUGAAUUGCAGAAUUCAGUGAAUCAUCGAAUCUUUGAACGCACCUUGCGCUCCUUGGUAUUCCUUGGAGCAUGCCUGUUUGAGUAUCAUGAAAUCUUCAAAGUAAAUCUUUUGUUAACUCAAUUGGUUUCUACUUUGGUAUUGGAGGUCUUUGCAGCUUCACACCUGCUCCUCUUUGUUCAUUAGCUGGAUCUCAGUGUUAUGCUUGGUUCCACUCGGCGUGAUAAGUUAUCUAUCGCUGAGGACACUGUAAAAGGUGGCCAAGGAAAAUGCAGAUGAACCGCUUCUAAUAGUCCAUUGACUUGGACAAUACUUUUAUGAUCUGAUCUCAAAUCAGGUAGGACUACCCGCUGAACUUAAGC
rnacentral:misc_RNA from 1 species